GGGAGGAAGUGAUGGAAGGAAGAAAACUGAAAAAUAAUUUAUUCUAAACAAAUAUCCUUAGUAGCAAGAAAGACCUGCCUACAGAGUGGAAACUGAGAGAGAGAGGUUUGAUUCUCUAUGAUUUUACCCUCUUGCAUUUUAUGAAGAUUGAUAGAAGAGUUUAUUCUGUGACUCUGGAUUUCUUCUAUUGGCACAUUGGGAUGAAUAUUAUUAUAAGGGGAAGAUCAAAUUCUCUUAGAAGAUGGCAUUUCCAGCUUACCAUUCAAAGAAAUUCCAUCCUCUGCCUUUUUGGAAAUAUCAAGAAAAUACCGUCAUUGAGGUUGUGGAGAGUCUGCAGGUUGAACACAAGUUGUGCUUGACUAGCCAGUUGUGCUUGAGCUGUGGUUCAACUGGGCUUGACUCUAGGAUGCUUGUUGGAUUCAGUUAUGUUCCAUAUGUGUUUAUUCCAUGGCCAAGGCUAAGACUCAAUAGCUAUCUGGAUUGUGUUCUUCUCUUGAUGGGUCACUGAAACACCAUGCUAAGCCAAAAGUCAUAAGCACAUUUAAACCUUCUGUUUACAUCACAUCUGCUAAAAUUCCAUUGGUCAAAGCAAGUCACAUGGCAACCUCAACACAAUGUGGUAGGAUGAAUUUCACCCACUGCAGAACAGCCCAGAAGAAGACCUAUUGACCAUUCAUGAAUGAAGCUAUCAGCUCUACAGAAACAUGGGAUGGAAGAUUGCCAAGUUAGAUUAUCUCUGCUCCACAAUUCCAUUGGCUAAAAAACCAGAGGGAAAGAGCAAAAGCUAGAACCUGAUAAAUAUUAACAGAACUGUA